CCUACGGGAGGCUGCAGUGAGGAAUAUUGGUCAAUGGGCGGGAGCCUGAACCAGCCAAGUCGCGUGAGGGAAGACGGUCCUAUGGAUUGUAAACCUCUUUAGGCGGGGAGCAAUGCCGGGCACGCGUGCCCGGAGGGAGAGUACCCGCAGAAUAAGCAUCGGCUAACUCCGUGCCAGCAGCCGCGGUAAUACGGAGGAUGCGAGCGUUAUCCGGAUUUAUUGGGUUUAAAGGGUGCGUAGGCGGAUUUUUAAGUCAGCGGUAAAAUGUCCGGGCUCAACCCGGGCCGGCCGUUGAAACUGGGGAGCUUGAGUGGGCGAGAAGUAUGCGGAAUGCGUGGUGUAGCGGUGAAAUGCAUAGAUAUCACGCAGAACUCCGAUUGCGAAGGCAGCGUACCGGCGCCCGACUGACGCUGAGGCACGAAAGCGUGGGGAUCGAACAGGAUUAGAUACCCGAGUAGUC
rnacentral:rRNA from 1 species